UACGUAGGGGGCAAGCGUUGUCCGGAUUUAUUGGGCGUAAAGAGCGUGUAGGCGGCCAUGCAGGUCAGCUGUGAAAACUCGAGGCUCAACCUCGAGACGUCGGUUGAAACCGUAUGGCUAGAGUCCGGAAGAGGAGAGUGGAAUUCCCGGUGUAGCGGUGAAAUGACGCAGAUAUCGGGAAGAACACCUAUGGCGAAGGCAGCUCUCUGGGACGGUA
rnacentral:rRNA from 1 species